CUUCAGAAAAGUGAAUUUAUGAAAGUUAUCUGUCUCCAUCCCACAGUGUCACCAGGUUUCUAAGCCUGACAGAUGAAACCACCAACAUACAUGCUUGUGUAUUUAGUAACAGGUCGACACAGAUUCUCUCCUUGAAAACCACCAUCACCUCUCCAUCUGUAAGGGUGAGUAAGGUUUUAAUCUAACCUCUAAAUAAUCCCACAUACUGCAGCUUCAAAACAUUAAACUCACCAGAAAUACAAAAAUUCAGUCCAUAUUAGGGCUGGACGAAAAGGAUAAAAGUUUAUCACGAUAUUUUUUUUUCUUAUCAGUUGAUAUUGACAUGUAUCAUGAUUAAAAAAAAAAAUCACUUGUCAAUCUUAAAUGUUCCCUGAUACUUUUAAAUUAAAUUUAACAUGAACUCAACAUAAUUUUCAGUUCACAUUACUCUGCUUCAUGUCCAACCUCAAAAAAACAAAAUACCUCCACACCACCGACGUUUUCAUAACGCCAGUGUUGUCGACGAUGUGGUCAUCUGUUGAGCCUUCAUGGUCAUUUCUGUCGGGGGUAGCACUCAUUUUCUUUAUUUCUCACCAACAGUGCUGUCGGCUUCACCUGUUAAAGUGCUAUGGUUGGGUGGAGCUGCUGUCUGCUACGAUGCAGUUGUUUGAUACUUGGUUCUAAUUCAGCACAUGAUUGGUUCAGCGUGAAACGGACCUGUAUCAACUCCUCUUUUCAUUGGCUAUUCCUUUAGUCUACCAAAACGGUAGAAUGCUGACUAUCGAAAAGCAUAUUGACCAUGUUUUAUAUUGAUAUUAAUUAAUUUUUGAUAUAUAUUGUUAUCGAUUUAUCGCCCAGCCCUAGUCUGUACAUAGAAGAAACCAGCAUAUAUCUGAAUAACACUCAACACAUGUCAUUUGUGAUUCUGGGCAGCACCCUUUUAGCCUCUGUCAGCUCUUUAAGUUCAUAACUUUCCCAUCAAGCCCUCUGAUUUAUUGAUAAACUGAAGAAGUUUUUUUUUCACUGCUGGUCUUUCUUGCAUCUUUUAUUCAUUUAAAGCCAUGAUGGGUUUUCCAUGAUGCAACACUGAGGCAUCCUUUAGUCAGGAGUGUACUUUUUCUGAGCAGGAGCUGAGUCUUGUUGCUGGGGCGUUUGCUGCUGAUCUGACUGAAGUCAAUAACAAACUCUCAGGUCUAUUUCUAAUCAGCGAGUCAAAGACAAAGACCCGGGCGGAUGCAUUUAACGAGAUCAAAUGUGCAUCUGCUAUAAGAUGAAACACCAACUUUCUUCUCCGAUCUUCUGUUUUUUUAAGCCCAUUCCUCUCUUUGUGUCUUUGUCUCCAUCUUCCUCCUCCUCAUCCUCUCCCAGCAUCAUUAGCUUUGUGGCCUAGACGACCCCGUCUCCAGGCAACCGACGGGAGUGGUGAGGGCGUUGAAAGGAUUGCAGGUGAUUGCAGCAGCAGAGUCAGAAUCAGCAGCAGCAGAAGAGGCGGUGGGUUUUCCCCUGCACACACACACACACACACACACACACACAAACACGCACGCACGCACGCACGCACGCACGCACAGGGAUACACACAGGGCCUCCCUUUCUUUCGCCUGCAAGAGAAAGCUCGUAUUUACAUGUUAGUCAACGUUUUCUGCAGCAGCAGUGUCCUCAUUGAAAUGCAAAACCUUUUUUUCUAAUAUUUGACGAGAAAGCAACACAAAAAAAUGACUUAAGAGAACAAACAACAGACUUAUGCAAGCAGAAAUGACAUCUCCUGGGUCACAAUUAGCCGAUGAUGCAACCCACCAUCAGCUAUUGUGUCUGACAGCAGCUCACACAGACGGGCUGGAGUGAAACGCAAAAAAAGGGAAACAAAGCUUCUGUUUGUUCUGAUGCAGAGAUGAAAAUCCACCUGUUGUUUGCAGAUUAAAUUUGAUUGUGUUGUUUAGAAAUUCCCCUCUUGCGUGAUUACAAUUUUAAAAACAAAGUCAUUUAGUUUUAACAAAAGGCAGACGACGGGGGGGGAGACAAAAACUGAACAUGUCUCACUGUGUCUCAGCCUGCUGCUCUGAAUGAAAAUCAUCAAACCAGAAACAUUCAAAGCUCAGACCAACAGACGCUCCAACUGAGACGUACAAAUAAAUCUAAGUAAUACAAAGCAGCUGGUCUGCGGUUACCAUGGAAACAUGCAAAGUAGCUUAAGUGCAGGUGGAUGUUUGAUUUGCUCGGAGACUGUUGACAGUUUGAGCUGAGUAAUGGGACUAGUUAAGUUUACUGAUUCUGGUUUAUUGUAAGUCAGAGUUAGAAAACAGCAGUUAGACGGCUGGAAACAAACAGUACAACAAACAUCAAACAUUAUAUACAUCAGAUAUACGUCUGCAAAACAAAUAAAAUAAAAUAAAACCGUCAAAUCUUAAUCUUAAUGAUUGCAGAGUGAUGGGAACUCUUUGGGGCAUAAGGAAAUAAGAUUAAAUAAGAUAAGAUGUUCCUUUAAUAGUCCCACAGAGGAAAAUUCCACAUGACUCACUUCAAGAGAAGAAUGAAAACAACUGUUUCAUGACCUUCCCGAUCACUGUUAUUUAUGACACAGACAGUCUAAACAUCAUGUGACCGUCACAUACUUAUCUCCUCAUGAGGAUCAGGGUGUCUGACCAACACCCUGACAGUCUAAACUCAGAACACUGACUGAACACUGACUGCUCUGUGGUUUCUGUCAGAGGAGGAGUCGGGUGGGUGUAGUGUUACACUUGGAGACACACCUUUUCUUAUCCUCAUGACACAACAGACACUGAGAGAUUACGCAGACACACACAGAGAGGCGAGGGAAGGGUCAUAGAAAACCAGUUUAUAAAACCAGUUUAAGCUACGUGGUCGGGUUUGAGUUGAUUUUGAUGACCUCUGUUUACGAGUGAGACCAGGUACGUCUCACAGGAGCUUAUUGGAGUUCAGUCAAAGGAGUUUUUAGUUCCAAUAAGACAGACUGAAAUAAACACUGAUGCUCUUUUAGGACUCACAAAUUAAAUGGGACCAUGAGUGAUGAGACUGUUUUUCUUCUUAAUAGAGAUUAGUGGUGUAAAAAGUAAAAGCAGGGUGGUCGAUAAACUCCACAUUAUCUUUAGAUUCACUGAUGGAGAUGAAAAAGAAAUUUAUUGAUAUCCAAAGAAAAAUUUCAGGUCUAUUUUAGGGUUUGAAAAAUGUUAUGUGAGAUUUGUGUAAGUCAGAAACGUGACUUUUACACAUAAGUGCUUCUUUGUCCACAGGGGGCGCCAAAGUCAACAUGAUCUGAAAGUUACCCACAGGAGCUUUAAAUGGUGUUGUUCCUUUUAUUAUAGAAAAUUAAACAAAAGUAUAACUUUCCUAAGUGUCUCAAAAAUAUCUUAAUUGCAGCAGGAAAUAAAAAAGCAAAAAUUAGGUAAUUAAAUAAAAACACAAUGACAAUAAACUUCUCUGAAAACAUUUUUCCUUUUAAGGAGUGAAGCUAAAAGUGCUUAUAACACAUUACAGAUGUUUUUAUACUUGUAUUCUUACUACAUAACAAACUUUCAAUGAUUUUAAAAUAGUUUCUGAUUUUAAAAACAAAAGCACAUGUAAAAAAAGUCUUUUUUUUCCAACUUCAGCUGGAUUAAGUAAUGUAUAAAAAUUAAGACCUUUUUUUGUCAAUCUGGCCUUUAAAUUACUGCAUGAGUCCACGUUUUUCCGUUUUUUUCUAUUGUAAUUUUAUCAACCCUCAUAUUUUUUGUCCUAUAUUAUUUUUACUGAUUUUGGUUGAUAUGUUUAUUAGAUACUGUUGUUUUAUUGUUGUUAUUCUGUCGUCUUACAACAUUUAACUCACUGUUCAUGUCUUUCCUUGUUUCUGUCUGUUUUUAAAUUAUGCUGUGAAUCUCAAAUAAAGCAAUGAAACAUCAGAGAAAAACAAACUGAAAUAAAGUUAAUUAGUAAAUAUCAAAAACCGUCUUAAAGAGGCAGAAACACAGGAGUAAUAAACAGUGGUAUUAAGGAGUCAAAUAAACAGAAACAGGAUUAACAGGAGGGCGAAAAACAACACUGGGCUGUUUAUCUGUUUUUCAGAUUAGUUCAGUCUCUGGACUUUGGUCACCAUGACAACCACAUGCCUCUGUUUAUUGUCACAUAGUCGGCGCUUCCUUUCUGACCAUAUAUGGACAAUCAGUGUCAGCGUUACCUCAGACAACAACUAUGUAACUCUGCUGCCCUCAUGUGGCAGAACUGAGAAGUGCAGGAGAUUUAAUGGAUCUGUGAUUCAUGAUAAAUCCUGGAUACUGAGAUGUGGAGGCAGUUAAAGAGGUGAGGUCUCAGAUAUGACUGUACAACUAAAACUGGAGAUCCUCUCUUCUUUUCUGUCGAUGCAACAGAAACAGAAAAAGAAACAUGUCCAGAUAAGUCCCAGAAUAUCAGAUAAACAAGGGAAAUUAUACUGUAAUCCAAUCAUCUAAUCGGCUUUAGAGGGAUCCCCCGCUCUGAUCCUGAUGGAUCAGCUCCUGACUGAAUAUCAGCAGGGGUCAGAUCAGUCAGGAUUUCUGAGAUUAUGAUGAUAAAAAACCUGAAAAUCAAGAUCCUGGUGUUCCUGGGUGGUGUGGGAGGAAUGAUAGGUAAAUAAGAAGAUCCCCUUCUCUUUUGUAGAAGUUUGUUUUUCUUUUUAAUCUUUCUUAUUCUUUCUUUUUAGGAGUUAUUUCUCUAAAAGUACCCUCUACCUUUCUCUCAAUAAGUUUGAUUUUAAGAGACUAAACUGUCUCUCGGUUAUCUACUUUGAGGUGAAACCUGAACUCAGAGGACUUCAGCACUGCCAGCCCCGCUGAAAAGUUCCUCCACCUUUGUAAAGUGUACCUGCAGAACAGGGUCAAAUGAAGCUUUCAGACCUAAUUUAGAUCCUGGUCCCUGAGGUUCCUUUAACAGUCCCUCAGACCUGGAAAAACACCUUUGAUUGUGAGGUAUUUGGGAGUUUAUGGAGUGAGGUUGCUCGAGUGUUUCAUCACACGGAUGACAUUUCUCAGCCCAGAGAGGAAUCUGUGACGGUCAGGUGAAAUUAGAGGAGGUUUCAAAGUGACAUCAGAGUUAUUUCUCCUCUAUGUCAGUCUCUGCAGAUAAAGUACAAUCCUCACAGAGGCGAUAACAGCGAGGGGGGGCUGGCAGCUCUUUUGUGAUGAGCUCAGCAGUUUUAUAAAGACUUCACGAGUCAGCAAACAUCUGUGGACACAUUAAUUACAAAAGUUUUCCACAAUGAACAAGAAAUAAAGUCUCAUUUAUUUACCAUCAUUAAAUUAAAGUGUGGAACUGUGAAAUAAAGCUGAUGUGCCAAAACCUGCAGUUCUCCUGGUGUCCACUGGGGGCAGACUCUAACGGAGAGUGAAGUCAGGCUUUAGGCUUUAGGCUGGAUUACACCGAGUCCUGAUUGUUAAAAAUGAAAAAUAAAAAGUCUUAACUGAAAGAACAAAAAUUAAAUGGAAAAAAAGCAGUUUUAACUCAAAUCAAAGUAAUUUAAAGUGACUAAAAACAAGAAAGCACAAAAAAGAAAAAUAAAUCUAAAACGGGAAAAUUUAUUAAUAAAGAACAGGAAAAGCAAAGACUGACGCUCACUAACAGCAAUAAAAUAAAAUGUAAUCACAACAAUAAAACAGAAGAGAUAAGAAAGUUAAUGUUAAAUAAAAAGAUAAAGAUCAGUAAUUAAACAUAAAUAAAAGCAACAAAAUAAAAUGACAGCUGUGAAAGAUGAUAAAAAAUAACAUUAAAACUUGCUCUUAAAGUUUUUUAGGUGAAGAAACAGAAGAACAAAAUGAUCACAUGACUUUAUCUAUUUCUUAGUUUUAUGGUCCAAAAUGGAAAAAACGUGGAAACUAGAAUUAAAUUAGAAAAGAUAAAAGAAGAAAACAAAAGACCAAAAAUUCUCUGAGUUUGGUUCAUCGAUUUAGACUGUAAAAUGUUGUUUUUCUGUUUCUGGUUUUGAACCAAAAAAAUAAAUGAGUGAUCGGUUUCUUGAUCACAGUUUAAAGUCCAAUUAUCCAAUAGUAUCCUGAUUGUUUUAUUAAUGCUUUUGCCUUUUAGUUCUUUUUCAAUAUAAAUUUAUGUUCUCAUGUUCUUAUGUUUAAAAUUGAGACUGUGACAGAUCGCUUAUAUUGUUUAUCUUGUUUCUAAAAUACCUGAUCCUGUUUUUUUGUCCAGAGUAGAACAGCUGCAUUUUAAUUUCGUGCCGAAAAAAAAAAGUGCAUUUUUAUUAACAUUUUAUCAGAUUUCACACAAUAUCAGUGAUAUAAAGUGGAAAAACAUCCAUCUAUCUUUGCUGAAAAACUACUUCUUAGUUCCAGCAGAGGGCGACAGAGUCAUGCAGAAAAUAUCUCAGAUUUGACAUAAAAAUAACAUUAAAAAAAUCAAAUACAAAUCUAAAUUUGUUGAGAUUUUCAGCAGCCUUUGACCAAAACCUAAAACCUUUAUCAGUGAAUGAGAGCUGCACACCAUUAUCAUGUGAUAUUUGUUGUUUUCAGUCUCAACGUAAAGAAUGAAUGCUCUCUCUCUCUCUUUCUCUCCCUUUAGUAUCGUACUAAAGUAUAAUUUACAAGUAUUCCUAGUACUUCUCUGUGUACUUGAUGUCAUUUAGUUUAAAUAAUUGAUGAAGAAUCCACACAGGCGGUGAUUGUAGAGGCAGAGAGACUCCAUCAGACCCUCAGGCUGUUACACGAGUUACAAUCUCUGCAUUCAUUAUUAACUCCACAUUUAUGUACAACAGAAGCAGAAACAUGUACAGCUGAUCUGUCUGAGCACAUCUCCUUCAUCUGAGAGACUAUUACAGCUUUAUUACACACCUGAGGAUCUGCUGCUCUGCUGACAGAUGUUGAUGCAUUCUAGAUGAGAGCAGAAACCCUCCGACUCCUCAGCGAAGCUCUCAGAUACCCAUUUAGAGGAGAGAGAGGAGGAAGGAGAGGAAGCGUCAGAUAAAGAAAAAGACCCUGUAUCUGUGAGUCUGUAUGUUUACUGAAGGAUUGAAGCCAAACUGAGACUUUGUGGUUCCCGUUAAACAAAGACAGGUUGGAUUAGACGUUAAUUCCCUCAGUUUUCCUUUAACAUGAUGAAACACGGUCCUCAAAUGAAAGAUUUAUUUCACAAACUCUGUUCCCUUCAGUGUUUGGUUUGUAAGAAUUUGUGUAAUUGUCGAACAGUCUUAGUUUUGGUGUUUGAGACUGGAACAUUAAGGCCUGUUUUUACCUCAGCGCUCAAAGGAUCUAAAGAAACAUGUCUCUAACGCUGCACAAAGCUGUUCGCCGUUUGUGUGUUUUCUUUCAUUCGGCUGAUGUCUCUUUCACUCAGCUCUUCGUGUGUUUUAGUGUUUUAGUGUGGUUUUAAUCCUCUUGACUUUUUCUGUGCUAGUUUUCGACCAAUCUCAAGUAAAAAUGUCAAGUAUGCUGCCAACAAAUAAUACUGAAAACUAACUCUGUCAACAGGAACAGGUGAAAUCAUGAAUAUUAGUUAUGAGCGAAUAGAUCUGAUAUGACAGAUAAUAAAGCUUUACGAUGUCAAUUUUGCUCCUCAGACUUUAAUUUCAUCCAUUUAACCUUUUUAAACACAUGCUUAUUAAAGCUCCUGUGAGGAACUUUUGAUUUCUGUCUAUAUGGCGCCCCCUGUGGACUACAUGGUCUUUACUUAUAAAACUAUUGAUCUCAUCAGCAGUGAUCUUGUUGGUUUUUGUUAAUCACAGAAAAGAAAACAAAGAUUUAAUAUCACAAACAUCAAGACUUCACAGGAGCUUUAAGUUUGUGUUGAUUUUGGCGCCCCCUGUGGACAAAGUGAAACUUCUUUUUUCUCGUGUUUCCUAUCAAAAAAUCUUACCCUGCAUUAUUUUACAGCAGUAUUUUUCACUCACUGUAGAUAUCUGCUAUGGAAAAUGUCAAUGUAGUUUUAUUAAAUAUAACAAAUACAGAAAUAAUCAAAGGUGGUGCUCUUGCCGACUUUUCCAGGUGGUAAAGAAGCAUCAGUGUUAAUCUGAGUCUGUCUCCUAACAGGAGCUUUGAUCCUGGCUCACAUUCGAGGUUGUUGUUCUGGUCUGUUCUGCUCUGGCUCCUGCUGUUGGUGUUUGGUUUAAAAAAACGAACAAAGAUGGUGCCAGUUUAUGUCUGAGGGGCCCUUGAGCACGGCAGCUUGGAGCCCCUUAUCUGAGUGCAGCCCACUAACUCCUCUUCAACUGUGCAUGUCCAUGUAGGAACCUGUCUGUGCAUCAGCAAAGUGAAACUUCUAUGAUUUGAUUGAAUCUUCCAAAACUGUGCAAAAUCCAGUGGGUUGGAUUUAGUGCCAUCUAGAGGUGUGAUUCCAUAUUGCAGCUACUUGCUUGUAUGCACCUCCAUUACUUACUAACCGUGCAUGCUGCAGUUGAAUAAGUGAAAACAAACCAUCCUCUUAAAAAUCCAGUUAGUCUUUAGUUAUACUGUGAAAGAAACUUUGAAGAUCUACCUCUUUGCUGCAGCUAAACUGGACUUUUUUUCUGAAAUGCAUCUAAAUUAAAAGACAGAAUUAGGGAAACAUCCGUCCUGAGCCAAAUAAGAGAAUCAAAAAAACACUUGUGACGUGAAAGUUUGCGUAAAACUUCUGUCAUUGUUUCCUUAAGUGCAGUUCAGAGUAAGAGAACGUCUCUGCAGAGGGUCCAAAGCUGAACAAACACCACUCCUUCUCCUGUAGGUCAGGAUGUUUGAACCAUCUUCUGUUUCUUAAGAAACAUUUAUUUGCUCUGCGGCAGGUUGAAGGCCAAAAACCCUGUCCAUAACUCAGAAAACCGGCCAUGAUAUCCAGCUAAACUUGCGUCCGUUGGUAGUUGGAGUGCAGAAAAGAGGCCCUGCAGUGUUUGCAGUGGGAGGAGGGGGCUCCUGAAUCCUGUUCUUCAUCUCUGUGUUUGUGUAUUUGCUUUCUCUUUGUUUUCUCUGGUGUCUUUCAGCAGAUCCAUUCAGACUCACAGCUAAAGAUGCUAGAUGUCCCUCUGGUUGUUAACAGCGCUCUGCUCUGUAACACGUUAUCCCUCUGCAGUUAAAUAAUGCAGAACGAGACUCCUCAUUUCUUGUGUUUGUACAUUUCCAUCCGAGCGAGAGCGCCGUGUUCGCCUCGGUCCUGAACCUGUGGGGACUGAACUGCUGUCUCCGGGAGGAAGACAAAGUUACAGAGUGAAUACAGAAAGACACGGACAAACAUGGCCGACAGUGUCCGCCACAGAGAAAUCAAAGUGUCAGCGUUAUGGAAGGUGCAGUGAAACGUGUUAAAGGAUAAACAGAGGAAGGAAAUUAAACAAAAGUGAAAAAUCUCUAAUCCAGGAAAUGAAGUCAUCGAGUUAGUGAGUGAGUGUGCUUUUAUUGUGUGUGUCUGUGUGUGUGUGUUUUGGCACAGUGGGGACAGUGUGCUGUUACACAAGGAAAGAAAAUAAGAUUGCAGGAAAAGAGAGAGGGAUGGUGCUGUGCAGGAUCCAGGACUCCUGUCUUUCUGCUCCAUGAGAACGACCUGAUAAAGAGAAAUAUGUUGACAGAUGUAAACGACAUGAGACAGUAGGAAAUGAUGUGAUGGGAUAGGAACUAAUACAGUCCAACACAAUAGGGUACACUACAGUAUGAUGGAGGAGUAACAGUUUACAAUAAGAAAUCAUAAAAAAUGUUCCAUCAUCAUCAUCGUCCACUAUGAAAUUAAAUGUGCUUUAAGACUUUAUAGGACAUGAGAAGAUAAUAAGAUACAAUACAAAUGAUGAUGGUACAAUUUAAAACACUAUGAUGGUCCAUAACAUGAAACUCUCAGAUGUGUAGCAACAUGAUACUAUAAGAUAAAACAGGAAAUGAUUAACUUCAUUAUGGUAUAAUUUAAUUGGUUAGAAUGAUGAUAAAAUAUGAGAUGAUACAAAAUGAUACAUAACAAAACAAUACAGGAUAAUACCAAGCGACACGAUACGGUACAAUUAAAUAGAAUAAAGUACAAGCAAGAUACAUCAAAUACAAUAACAUGUGAUAUGAUACAUUACAUAAUGAUACAAUGUGUUACAAUCUGGAACAACAAUUCAAUAUAAUACAAUAAGAUAUGACAGGGUAAGAUAUGAUAUGAUACAAUAUAUCAUCUGAUAAGAUAAGAUACAAUAAGAUAUGAUAGGAUACAAUAUGAUACGACAAGAUUUGAAGUUUUUUUUUUGGUAUGAUAUGAUAUGAAAUUAUAUGAUAUGAUGCGAUAGUACGUUAUGAUACGAUAUGAUAUGGCAUGUUAUGAUGUGAUACGAUAAGAUUUAAUAUGAUACAAUAUGACAAGAUAAAAUAAGAUAAUAUGUGAUAUGAUAAGAUAAAAUUCCAUAUAAAACUCUUCCUAGACAAAUCAGCAGCAUGUGUGCAGGUUCAGUGUCAGGACAGCAGAAUCACACACACACACACACACACACACACACACACACACACACACACACACACACACACACACACACACACACACACACACACACACACACACUAUUACUCCUGUUGAUAUUUGUCUGUGGAAAUCUUCAUUGUCCUCUUUAUCUGCAGAAAUUGGAGAAAAGUCCUCUGGGAUUUCAGCGGUGAGGCUUUGUGUGCAGACCUCCACCUCCACCUUCUUCUUCUUCUUCAUCCUCCUCUCCUCCUCCCUCCUCUGCCUCGUCAGGAGUUUCUUUGUUGGGGUUGAGGUCCCUCCAAACUGAAAGCAAACAAAGGAGGAGAUAAAAAUCAAACUCAUGCACAUAAAAGUCGCCAGAUGUGAAAAAUAUGCUCCGAGUGUUUUUGGAUAAAUGGUCAGAUUAGGUCUGAUGGAAAGACUGUUGGAAAGUCUGGCUGCUGGAAACUGAAGUGAUGAGACUGUUCUUUCUAAAUGACUGUUUUUCUGAGGAAAUUCCUGCAGACUGUGGACUUAACAACAACUUCCCGGUGUGGAUUUCAAAAUAAUAGGUGUGCACGGACAGGGUGUCAGGAUGUUGUCACAAGCAUGCCGCCGCACGCCUCCUAAAUAUGUGGAGCCGCUUUGGGAAACGAAAUUCCAAUGAGCUCCGAGUUCCUGCAGAGUGACUCAGAACAAACAGCGUCUGACAGCUGACUGAAGCUCUUUCAUGAGCGGCCGACGAAAAUCAACAAUAACACGUUUGCUGCAUGUAAAUAAAAGAGCCUGACCGACAUACCAGCAGGAGAACGUUUCCUGUUCAAACAAGCUCAUCACAGACGUAUGAUGGUGAGUGUGUAUCCUGGUGGAUUCAUGAAUAUUUCUGUAAGUUUAACAAUUAAAAAAGUAAUAUUAAUUGGCUUAAAACUGCAAAAAAGUGAGGAUUUCAUGGGUUAAUUCUGCACAAAGGGGAACUACGAUGUGAUUGGGCAUUAUUGCACUCAAAAACAAAUGUGGCUUCAUAGUGGAAGUCGCCGCAUUGGCCUGAAAUCACUUCCAGUUGGUCUAUAAAAUAUGAGCCUUAAUAUAGAAAAACAUGAUUAAGAAGAAAUACCAAUCAUCUCUUCUUUGUUUCAGUCUUUUUGGAAAUCAUGGACACAGUUCAAAAGUCAGCAUCCCUGACUGUAUUGGGAUGCAUAAGUGUUCAUAACAUGGCUGAAUAAUAUACGCUGGUUUUGGCUGACGUAUUUCUUCACAGGCACACUUUUAGUCAUACGUGAAGUUUCUGAUAACAACUCGAUGGAGAAUAAAUCCCUCAGGAGUUGGAGCUGUUCUGUGAAACUAAAUCUGCUUUUAAAGUUGGGUAAGUUAAUCCUCAUAAAAGACCUUUUGUCCUUGUUUUCUCCUAAUAAAGAUCAGGACAAAAUGGACUCGUGAAAGUUUCCAUGUUUCACCUGCUCAAAUUAUUUUAAAGAAGCAUUUUUAUUUUCUUUUUAGGCUUUAACAGGAAACAUAAGAUAAGGUAAAAGACAAAAAAAAAAAACACCAUUACCACACUCAUCGACCACUGAUGCUUUCUGAGGAAGUGUUAGGAAGCUCGAAGACAACAGCUGCUGUUCUGGGAAAGCGUUUAGACUGAGCUUAAAACGCAGAAAAAUUAGACCUCCCUUUAUUCCCUUUCUGGAUUAGAAAUAGACUGUUGUAAACCUGUGUCACCUUUUAGAUCCACUUCAGUCUGGAGCUGAGGCGGGCUGAAUGAAACAUGAUUCACCCUGAUAAAACUCUUAAAACUCUUCACCCUGAUAUGAGUCGUGAAUUUAAUUUAUCCCUUGGAAAGUUUUGGUGAAUAAAUAAAAAAGCAUCCAAGAUUAAAACAGUUUGUUCAAGUUUUAAUCAUAUUAUUCUGUCUUUAUAUAUUGUCUCAUGGUGCCUUAUGGGGUUUGAGAGCAUUUGGAACAUGCCUCUAGUGGACACUCGAGGAACUGUAGUUUUAUUAUGCUUCUAUAUUAGUGUUAAUUUCCAACU
rnacentral:lncRNA from 1 species